CCUACGGGAGGCAGCAGUGAGGAAUAUUGGUCAAUGGACGAGAGUCUGAACCAGCCAAGUAGCGUGAAGGAUGACUGACCUAUGGGUUGUAAACUUCUUUUAUAUGGGAAUAAAAUGUUCCACGUGUGGGAUUUUGUAUGUACCAUAUGAAUACGGAUCGGCUAACUCCGUGCCAGCAGCCGCGGUAAUACGGAGGAUCCGAGCGUUAUCCGGAUUUAUUGGGUUUAAAGGGAGCGUAGGUGGAUUGUUAAGUCAGUUGUGAAAGUUUGCGGCUCAACCGUAAAAUUGCAGUUGAAACUGGCAGUCUUGAGUACAGUAGAGGUGGGCGGAAUUCGUGGUGUAGCGGUGAAAUGCGUAGAUAUCACGAAGAACUCCGAUUGCGAAGGCAGUUCACUGGACUGCAACUGACACUGAGGCUCGAAAGUGUGGGUAUCAAACAGGAUGAGAUACCCGGGUAGUC
rnacentral:rRNA from 1 species